rnacentral:rRNA from 1 species
CACGUAGGGUGCGAGCGUUGUCCGGAAUUAUUGGGCGUAAAGAGCUCGUAGGCGGUGUGUCGCGUCGGCCGUGAAAACCUGCAGCUUAACUGUGGGCUUGCGGUCGAUACGGGCAUCACUGGAGUUCGGCAGGGGAGACUGGAAUUCCUGGUGUAGCGGUGAAAUGCGCAGAUAUCAGGAGGAACACCGGUGGCGAAGGCGGGUCUCUGGGCAGUAACUGACGCUGGAGGCG